GGGGGGGGGGGGGGAAGAAAGGGUGAGGAAGGCGAGGGAGGCGAGAAAGGGGGGAGAGAAAAGACGGGAGAGCAAGUUACCGGAUAAAAUAAAAAGUAAGAGGGGGUUAAAAUAAGAGAAAAAAUGUGUGAGGUGAGGAUGUUGAGCAGGUAAGCGAAAGUGAUGGAAGAAAAAAAAGUAAAGGGGGUUAAAAUAAGAGAAAAAAGAUGUGUGAGGUGAGGAUGUUGGGUAGGUAAGGGAAAGUGAUGGAGGUAAGAUUUUAAAUUAAUGCAUGAAUCGGGAUACACAGGAACAUUUUUUUUUUUUACAUCAGAGGACACGGCUCAAGGGGAACAAAAAGUGAACAAAUAAAAAAAAAGCCCGCUACUCGCCGCUCCUAUAAAAGAUAAAAGUAAAGAGUAGCCGAAAGAGAGGUCAAUUUUGGGUGGUGGUGGUAUGAGACGAGUGCUGUAGUGCCUUUCUUACAUCAAUGGAAACAGCAAAAGGUCAUAACGGAAGAAAAAAAAAAAACAUCAGGCUCUCCUUCAGUAAAAAGAAUAAAGAAUAACAGGCUGGAGGAGAGGUCAGCUUUAGUUGGAAAAAUAUUCAAAUUACGAAAGACAGACAGGCAGAUAAAAAUAGAAGGGUUCGUAGUAGGAAGGAAAGGAAAAGUAACGUAGGAGUGACUUAAAAUGAAAAAAAGUAAUGACUGAAAAGGAAGAAUUACAAGGUGGAUGAAGAUCAGACAACAGGUGUGAUGAUGAAAAAGAAGAGUUACCAGGUGGAUGAAAAUAAGACAACAGGUGUGACACAGAGAGAGAAAAAAAGAUUCGUAGUAGGAAGGUAAAGGAAAAGUAAUACAUCUGUUGUUUAUAUUGAAAAAAAAGUAAUGACUGAAGACAAAUGAUUGAAGGAUAUAAAUAAAGAUGUUACAGGUACGAAAAUCCAUGUACAAAAGGCGCAAGUGAGGUUAAUGAAAAGUUGUGAAGGGUUCAUAAUCAUAAUAGAGAGGUGAGGAGAAUUAAUGUAUCAAUGACUUUAAUUAGAAAAAAUGAAAAAGAAGAGUCAACAGGUGGAAAGUAAAAGUUAUAAUGAAUCCAGCAGUCCAGGUACAAACAGGUAUGAAAAACGCUAAUUAAAAAAAAGUGUGAUUGAAGAAGAUUAACAGGUGUCAAUUUGUCAAAAAGUAGGUGUUAAGGGUUCAGGACUCCAGGUACAAACAGGUGAUAAUGAGGUUAUUAAAAAGUUAUAAUUGAAGAAGUAUAAUCAUUAAAAAGUGUAACGUGAAAGGUGUUAUGGGUGCGAAAUUCCAGGUACAAAAAGUGCAAAAUGAGGUUAAUUAAAAACAGGUAUGAUUGAAGAAUACAAAAAAAUAAUAGAUGUCUUAGGUUAGCCAAUCCAGGUAUACACAAACCUAACCUAACCUAUCCCAACCCCUCUUCUUUUUCCUCCAUCUCCUUCCUCUUUUUUUUUUCUCUUCCAUAUUUCCCAAUCCACUCUCCGCUGCCUCUCUUCCUCUUGUUUCUUCAUCUCCUUCCUCCUCGUUUUCAGGUGAUAAUGAGGGGCACAAUAGACAGGUAAACAAAGGUAAUACAUAUAUCGUAUCAAUUACAAGAAAAUAAAAAAAAGGGAACGUAACAGAAGAUGACGAUGAUGGUGAUGAUAAUGAUGGUGAUGGAAAGCAAAACGUUCAAUAGUGAAAAAUCAAAAGGUGUGUAAAUAGAUAUAAAAAUAAAGUGUGUAUAUAAAUGGGGAAUAAAAAUGGGGAAUGAGGGAGUAGGUGUGUGUAGUGUUUAUGAUCAUGGGUACAAAGAUUAAGAGGAGGAGGAGGAGGAGGAGGAGGAAGAAGACGAAAAAGAGGAGGAGGAGGAGGAAUUAAAAUGCAAAUAAAGGAAAACCAGGUAAAGAUGAUUGUGUUUAUAACUAUAAAUAAUUACACACACACACACACACACACACACACACACACACACACACACACACACAUAAAGCCCACACACAGCCAAUAUAUUUUUACUCAUUGUUUUCGCUUACCUCAAAAAAAAUAAAAAAUAAAAAAAUGUUACCCUAAUACUUUCAACAACAGCAAAUACAGGAAACUUAACAUUUAUGGAGCGAAUAUUUUUAAGCCCUUCCCCCAAAAAUGCCAAAUUAUUUCAUACGCGAAAACACUAAAAAAAAAAAAAAAAAAAUGUAUAAACGACGUAUAUUUGUACUUGUAAGUAUGUAUGUAUAUUUCUAAGUCUGUUUACAUGUACUUAUAUAAAUGUUUGUAUGUAUAUAUGUACGUUAAUGUGUGGAGACUUGUAUAAAUUCACGUAUACGUAAAACCUGUGUGUAUAACUGCUGGCGGUGGUUGUUAAGUAGUUCUCAAAGGUCCAGAUUAUUAAAUGUAUCCCAAGGUUCUCACGACGACUAACCUCCAAGGCCACAGAGAAGAUUAGCCCGACUUUCAUGGGGGUGGGGGUCGGGGGGAGGGGGGGACUACUACUACUACUACUACUACUACUAAUGGUCAAGAAAUCGUGUAAAACUAUCACUAUCUGAGGAGCAGUGAGUAGCGGGCUUUUUUUUCAUUAUUUUUUUUUUAUGCCCUUGAAAUGACUCCUUUGCUAUAAAAAAAAUCACCAAACAGUCCAUGAAAACGCCAGCAACUCCCUUUUUUUUUUUUUUUUACGUCUACGCCUAUAGCGCCAGUAGGCUUGCUUGAGGGGCCUGGAUGGUAGUCGGCUCCAGCCCGUAUUGGCGCAGGCAAGUGUUUAUAGUGGCGCCAUCUUCUCUACGACAAGCGGCUUUCGAAACAAGUGAUCUGAGGCACCAACACGUUUAAAAGUAUGGGCCUUUAAAUCCUCCUGUUGAUACCUGUGGAGGGAUUUAUUUACCUGUGCGUACCUGUGUAAACUAUACCUGUAAGUGUGUGUGUAAGUUAUAUCGGUAAGUUUGUACAUGACGAGGCAAAAAAAAAUAAUAAUGGUUACAGUAGAGUGAGUUGUAAAUAAGUGAACAGUAUUAGGUGUGUGUGUGUGUGAGUGUGUGUGUGUGUGUGUGUGUGUGUGUGUGUGUGUGUGUGUGUGUGUGUGUGUGUGUGUGUGUGUGUGUGUGUGUGUGUGUGUGUGUGUGUGUUAACCUUUAUACUUGUGACUUUCAAUCCUGAAUAUAAAUUAAUCAAGAUA